AUGUUUUUUCAACAGAAAUUCGGCGAUCUUCCAACUAGUAAGAAAAUAAAUUGCAUUCUUCAUUCGCUUUGAAAUCAAAAAUGAAAAAGAAGCCCAUAAGCAAAAAUAAAAAAAAUUCUUUGGUGGUGACAGUAAAAUCUGCAACAAUGUCACAUUUUAAAGAUAAAAUCACAAGGGUGGACAAUUUUUGCCAAAGUGAACCCUAGGAUACAUUUGUAAUAGCUCUUAGAUUAACUGUUAUGGACUUUUAUGUCUUAAGAAACUCACAUUUAUCUUGUUGAGCCAUUUUACAAGUUUUAGUACUUUAAUUUAGAAAAAAAAAAAAAAAAAAAAAAAAAAAAAAAAUCUCAUUCAUGAAGUCAAUAAAUGUUUAUGACAAUUUAUCUCGGGCAACAAAUGAGACUGUCACUAUUACCUUAUUUGAAGAUAUCCAUUUUGCAAGCUAAACAACUGCUUGUAUUGCUGAGUAGAUUUUACCAACACUAUUGUUAGAACAGUAGGUUUAAAAAAAAAAGAGAGAAAAGGAAAAACACCUAUAAUUCUGAUAUUAAAGGGUUAAGAACUCCAACUGUGUUUAUCUUUCAAUCUAUGACCUGUAAAAAUUAUAAGAAUUGUUUUCCCAACUCAGAAUUAAAAGAUUUCAUAAGCAAAAAAAAAAAAAAAUGUUUGUUCCCAACUACUAAUAGUCAUGGAUCUGUUCAAUAAACCUUAAAUCAUCAUUAAAGUUCCUAAUAUACAGGCAUCAUGGCCAAAUGGUUAACAAGUUUGUUUUGCAAUCACAAAAUCCCAGUUUCAAGCUCACUACAGCAAAUUUUAGGCAAGUGUCUUACCAUAUCUACUGUUCAACCCAAACUUAGUGAAUGAUAUUGGGUAGAUGGAAACUGUAUGGCUGUCUUUGGAUGUAUUUUACCUGUAAUUCAGUCCAGCUAUGUCACAUUGAAUCCACUUGAGGAUUACGUCUGUGGAAUAGUCAGCUAUUUGCACAUAAACUCAUUGAACAGGUAGUUCAGAUGAUUGGACAAGUGAAACCUGUAAGUUAGAAAUUCUAAACAUGGUCAUUACAUUAUAAUGAUUUAUACCUACAUUCAGUACUCCAAUUCCAUUUCACUGUCCUUUCAAAACUCCAUAACUAAUAAAUAUAUAUUAGGCAUGGCUGUGUGGUAAGAAGUUUGUUUCCCAAUCUCAUGGUUCUGGGUUCAGUCCCACUCUGUGGCAUCUUUCCACUUACAACUUUGGGCUAGCCAAAGCCUUGUGAGUGGAUUUGGUAGACAAACUGAAAGAAGCCUGUCGUAUAUGUGUCUGUGUUUAAGCCCCCAUGACUGCUUGACAACCGGUGUUGGUCUGUUUGCACCCCCAUAACCUAGCGGUUUGGCAAGUGAGACUGAUAAAAUAAGUACCAGACUUAAGAAAGUAGUCGAUUCCUUCGACUAAAAUUUCUAGGAGGUGCCCUGGCAUGGCUGCAGCCUAAUGACUGAACGAGUAAAAGGUAAAAGAUAUAACCUCAAACCUGUGUCUAUAAAAUCAUACAAAAACAAAAUUCAAACUCUUGCUUGUUCUAUAUAAAUAUAAUCAGAGGUAGUAAAUGAUUAGAGACCCCAUCAAUUUGGUACAGCAGCAAUUUUGACAUGAUGUGGGUAAUAAAUAUUUCUCUUGCUGGAUGUAGAUAAUAAAUAUUUCCCUUGCUGAAUCAAUAAAUACGGCAAACUUUCGCUGCAAUUUGUUAUUCCAAGGGAGAUAACUACAACUUGACAUAGAACAAGACUUUUAAUUUAAUCUAAUAAGAUUAGACUAAAUAAUCUGAAAGGCCGCAAAUGUUAUCAAUACAUAUCCUCUGUGUAUGAACAAGACACUUAACUUGCAAAUGGCCCAAUCAACCGAGUUUUGUAACUUAGAGGGAACAGUCUCCAAAAUGAGUGGCAGUGCUAAAAAUUAAAAAAGUAAUUAGCUGGUAGUACUAAAUUCAACUCCUUUCUUGAGUAUGAUCUGGAAAAUGUUGAACUAUUAUAUUCAUUUGAUGAAGGUAUACAACAGGAGUCUUUCUUCAAAGGGUCAAGGCAUUUAUUACCUGGAGGGAUUUGAGUAAAGUUCCAGCCAGAUUUAGUGUAACAUGGUGGUAGAACAGUGAAAUAGACAGUGCCAAAGAGCAAAGAAACAGGUGUGGAAGGACUGGAAGGGUUGGGGGAGCAAAGAACUAUAUCAGGUAGCUAGAAGAGAAGCUUCGUGACAGGUAAAUCUUGGCUAGGGGAGAAGCAGAAAGGAAAAAAGUUUGUCAGCGGUAUGAGGACUAGAGGAUUGAGGUGUUUUGGAUUGCAAAACAGUGAGUCAGAAAAAAUUGUGAUGUUGAAGGAGAGAUGUGUGUUUGAAUGAAUGUUGGUACACUUGUACUUAGUGACUCUGAAAAGGAAGUGGCCAGGCAGUGUCCCUAUGAAAGGCAGCUCACUGUGGGGAAUGCAUGGGAAAAGGAAGGCCUUCCUAAUAUGGACCCAACAGAGGGAUCAGCUAUCCAAGUUGACAACUGUAUGAUAGAUAAUUAAUGAUAUGAAGGGGAAGUUCCUGAUCCAUCAGGAAUCACCACUGAGAUACUUUAAAUAUCUGACAGAGUGGGAUACAGCCUAGUCACCUGUAUAGUUAAUCAUGCCAUCCAGGAAGGAGUAGCAGUAUCAUAGUUAACUGCUCAAAGGUAAAAAAGUAAUUAUAGAGGUAUCAAAUUUCUGGACCAGGUCAGGAAAGUUACAAAAAGGGUCAUAGCUCAACUAAUUAGGAAGAGAGUCAACCUAGAUGAGAUGCAGUUUGGUUUUAUGCCAGGAUAAACACUACUGAUGCUAUCUUCCAAGUAAGGCAACUACAGCAAAAGCAUUUAGCCAAAAAUAAACUGCUGUAAUUGGUAUUUAUUGAUAUGCUGAAAGCUGUCCAAGCCAUGUACAGGGAUGUUAUUAUUAAAGUGAAAGUCAGUAAUGAGUGUGUUAACAAGUUUAAUGAGCAGGUAGAUCACCAAGGCUCAGUUCUUAGCUUUUUGUUUAUCAUAGUCUUCCAGGCCAUAAAAGAAAUUUAAAGCUGGUUGCCCAUGGGAGCUUCUCUAUGCUGAUGAAUCUUGUUCUUAUAGAUGAAUCUUAGUAGAAGUAAAGAAGAGAACAAUGACUGGAAUCAAAGUACCUCAGAGUUAAAGACCAAUGUGUUGAGAGAGAAGACAGUACUGGUAUGGUCAUGUGAUGCAAAUGAAGGCAACUGCACAAAGAAAUGCUGAUCUCUAAAUGUGGAGGAAAUCUGUGGAAGAGUAAGAACCACAAAGAUGUGGGAUGAAGUGGUGAAAAAUGAUCUUCAGAUGUUGAGUCUUACAGAAGAGAUGACAAAGGAGGGAGAUGAUUGGUGAUUUCCUGUGCUUGAGAAGACCAGUCCAGUUAAGUAAAAUGAAGGUCAUAAAGGCUGCAAAUUUCUGAUGACCUACAUCUGCCAACAUUAUGAAGUAACUCUGAGCCCUCAGAAACAGCUGUCGAACUUGUAACACCUUUGCCCCUCUAAUUCUUUGAGUCUAUGUAAUCUGAGUAAGUUUGGUCUAUUAAAAAAUAUGUAUAUAUUUAUA